GAUCAUGGCUCAGAUUGAACGCUGGCGGCAGGCCUAACACAUGCAAGUCGAACGGUAACAGGAAGCAGCUUGCUGCUUUGCUGACGAGUGGCGGACGGGUGAGUAAUGUCUGGGAAACUGCCUGAUGGAGGGGGAUAACUACUGGAAACGGUGGCUAAUACCGCAUAACGUCGCAAGACCAAAGAGGGGGACCUUCGGGCCUCUUGCCAUCAGAUGUGCCCAGAUGGGAUUAGCUUGUUGGUGAGGUAACGGCUCACCAAGGCGACGAUCCCUAGCUGGUCUGAGAGGAUGACCAGCCACACUGGAACUGAGACACGGUCCAGACUCCUACGGGAGGCAGCAGUGGGGAAUAUUGCACAAUGGGCGCAAGCCUGAUGCAGCCAUGCCGCGUGUAUGAAGAAGGCCUUCGGGUUGUAAAGUACUUUCAGCGGGGAGGAAGGUGUUGUGGUUAAUAACCGCAGCAAUUGACGUUACCCGCAGAAGAAGCACCGGCUAACUCCGUGCCAGCAGCCGCGGUAAUACGGAGGGUGCAAGCGUUAAUCGGAAUUACUGGGCGUAAAGCGCACGCAGGCGGUCUGUCAAGUCGGAUGUGAAAUCCCCGGGCUCAACCUGGGAACUGCAUUCGAAACUGGCAGGCUUGAGUCUUGUAGAGGGGGGUAGAAUUCCAGGUGUAGCGGUGAAAUGCGUAGAGAUCUGGAGGAAUACCGGUGGCGAAGGCGGCCCCCUGGACAAAGACUGACGCUCAGGUGCGAAAGCGUGGG
rnacentral:rRNA from 1 species